GGCAUUACAGGUGCUUUCAAGAGAUAUUCAUCUACAAAUCUUAGAAUGACAAUAUUACAUUUUAAAAAUGUUUUCGAAUAGUAAUUUAGUAAAUUGUAGCGCUGUUUCACCGGAUGCAUUUGAGGGAAAAUAGUUAGUCAACGUCACGCGCCGAUGUAAAAUGCUGUUUUUAUAUAUAAAUAUGAACUUUAUCGAACAAAAGAAUGCAUGUAUUGUGUAACAUGAUGUCCUAGGAGUGUCAUCUGAUGAAGAUUGUCAAAGGUUAGUGCUGCAUUUAGCUGUUUUUUGGUUAUUUGUGAUGCAUGUGGUUGGUCGGAAAAUGGCUAUGUGGCUACUUUUACGAUAUACUCCUCUAACAUAAUCUCAUGUUUUGCUUUUUGAAAAAAAUAAUAUUAAAUUUUGUUACGCUAAUGGCGAUAGGAUUUUUCGCUGGAUGUCCGCUGGAUGUCCGUCCCGCAUACGGGACGAGCCCGACAAGAGUUAAUAGACACUUGGCAUAUCUGUUGUGAUAAUAGGUUUAGAGUCUUGGCUGUUGCCUUCCUCAAGACUGCAGGUCUCUUUACGUGUUUUUUUCUUCCCCAUAACUAUCCUACAUUCUAUGGCUGAUUUGCUGUGUCUGUCUCUCUCAGACCGUAAGUGUAACCCCAGCCUGCUGAGUCUGGUGUCAAAUGUCAGCUCCAGCGAGCCCACACCCACCAGUGCCCCAGGACAGGUGCAGUGGUGGGAUGCCCAGAGCAUUGUGUGUUUGGUCAUCUUCCUCUUCUGCACUCUCUAUGCCAGGUAG
rnacentral:lncRNA from 8 species